rnacentral:misc_RNA from 1 species
AACCAUUCUCACCUGCGGCUAGACCUGCGGAGGGAUCAUUACCAGAGAGCCUUUUGGCACUCCAACCCAUUGUGAACAUACCUAUCGUUCCCUCGGCGGGCUCAGCGCGCGGGGCCUCCGGGCUUCCGGGCGUCCGCCGGGGACAACCAAACCCUGAUUUACUACGUGUAUCUCUGAGGGGCGAAAGCCCGAAAACAAAAUAAAUCAAAACUUUUAACAACGGAUCUCAGAUCGGAAGAG